UGUGCACGUGGGUGGACCUGUACCUGUAUAAAACACGAGGCAUGAGCUAUUCAACGAGCACUGAAAACUCAAGGAAGCUUUGGAAACAGCUCAGCCGGAGUCAUUUCGCAAGCAAAAACAAAAGACAAACAUGCACUUUAAAGGUAUGCUUGUGGGCCUGACCAUUCUUGGUCUCAUUGUUGCAGGGAGUAAUGCCCUGCCGGACAGCAGCAGUGCCGCUGAGGCCGAUGCCAGGGCUGAACCCAACUCUUUCGAACGCGCAGAGGAACGCGACUUGGAGGAGGCACGCCAGUUCAGUCAAGGAUGCAUGGAAUCCCUGUGCCGCUAGUAACACGAUGCAAAUAAAGGCACAUUGGAACGAACGUCGUACACGUGAUAA